UGUGAGCCACCAUGUGGUUGCUGGGAAUUGAGCUCAGGACCUAUGGAAGAGUGGUCAGUGCUUUUAACCUCUGAGCCAUCUCUCUAGCCCCCAAAAGCUGACACGGCUACAAGCCAUUAUAUAGACUUUGAACUAGUAGCUUUUUGAGAUUAUUUAAAACACAGCUUUGCAUUUCCAAACUUUAUUGCUAUGUCCAAGCUUUCUUAUUCCAUUAUUUACCUCUGUCUCAGUACUUUAGGCUAUUUAAGCUUUUGAUGUGUUAGUAGCUUCAGUUUAUAAAGGUCUUUCCAACCCACUGUCACAGCCUUAGGGCUGUUCAGUUACACCUCCCAGGAUACACAGCGUAGAUGUCGGUUUACUCUUAAGGCACCCACAUGGCAGCGGGUCUUGGGCAGCUUGGCGGAAAGAUUUCAUUACAAGAACAUUGUAAGACUUUAGUUACACAGGACACUAGUCUAGACAUCCUCUAGACAUCCAAAAGAACAAACACAUAUUUUAAUGUGCCCAAUUGGAAGAACAGAUAAAGAGCAAGCUACAGGUUAAAAUUACAAGAUACACAAUGAAUAUGAAGAAGGAAAAUCAGAAAGCUUUCUGCUCAUAGAAGGAAAUCAGAAAGCUUUCUGCUCAUUGACUCUAGCAGUGAGUGCCUGCUGUCUAAAAGCCAUGACUUACAGAUUUCAACCAAAUUUAGAGUUUCCUUUUAAAAACUUGAUAUCUUGUGUAAGUUCAAGAUUUCAUGCCACUUUGAUAAGAAAAACCAAACCUUGGGA
rnacentral:lncRNA from 1 species